UACGUAGGGUGCGAGCGUUUAAUCGGAAUUACUGGGCGUAAAGCGUGCGCAGGCGGUUUGUAAGUCUGUCGUGAAAUCCCCGGGCUCAACCUGGAAAUUGGCAAUGGAGACUGCAAGGCUAGAAUCUGGCAGAGGGGGGUAGAAUUCCACGUGUAGCAGUGAAAUGCGUAGAGAUGUGGAGGAACACCGAUGGCGAAGGCAGCCCCCUGGGUCAAGAUU
rnacentral:rRNA from 1 species